rnacentral:lncRNA from 1 species
CAUGCAUUCACUUAUUCAUUAAUUCAAUACAUAUUUAUUAAGCACCUACUGUAUUCCUGGCACAGGGCUAACUACUGAGAGUACCAAGAGGCAAUAAAAUUUAAGCCAUCCACUAGGAAGGUGAUGCUGAGAAACUGAAGUCCAGGGCAUGAUGAUGCUGUGGAGAUGCAGAUACCGAGGCACUGAGACUGCCAGCAGCGUGCAAUGGUGGGAAUGUCCCCAAGGCAGAAGUGAAUCAAGAUUCUUGAAUGAUGAGAGCUCCAUUGAAAGAAAAAAGAUGCACUAAGUGAGGAAACCAACAUUGAACACCUACUCUACCAGGGAGAGGCAGAUCCAUAACCCAUCUGUUGACACCUGGACGGCACAGCGGAGGGAGCUGCACCUCUCUGCCCGGCCCUGCAGCCCCACUGUGGUUUUCCUGCCAAGCUGCAGUGGUUGCUGGGAAGAACACCUGGUGGGUGAGUGAUGGGAGAGCUUCCCGCUGGCAGCAGCCACCUCUGCCCAGAGCCAUGCUCAUCACUGGGUGCCAUGGAGGGCCCAGGCAGGAAGCCUGAGAACACUGUUUCAGACACAUCUGCCGUAGAGCCGUGCCCUGGAGUGAGCCUGACCAUGUCGGAACAUCAGAACAGGAAGGUACAUCCUUAA